rnacentral:rRNA from 1 species
GACGUAGGGCGCGAGCGUUGUCCGGAUUUAUUGGGCGUAAAGAGCUCGUAGGCGGCUUGUCGCGUCGAAUGUGAAAUCUCAGGGCUCAACUCUGACAUUGCAUUCGAUACGGGCAGGCUAGAGUUCGGUAGGGGAGAGUGGAAUUCCUGGUGUAGCGGUGAAAUGCGCAGAUAUCAGGAAGAACACCCGUGGCUAAGGCGGCUCUCUAGUACGGUACUGACGCUGAGACGCGAAAGCGUGGGGAGCGAACAGG